UUGCAAUGAUGACCAUCUUAGGACACCUUUGGAUUCAAUCAUGAAAACAAACCCAUACAGAUCUGAGCAAC